rnacentral:rRNA from 1 species
CAUGCCGUAAACGUUGGGUGCUAGACGUGGGGGCCUUUCCACGGUUUCCGUGUCGUAGCUAACGCAUUAAGCACCCCGCCUGGGGAGUACGGCCGCAAGGCUAAAACUCAAAGGAAUUGA